GAUUUUUGAGGUGAGAAAUGGCUCCUCAUACGCUGAUGUGAUGUAUUCUAUCAGUAAAUAGAGAUGCAGGACAAGCCGACCUGCCAAUAAUC
rfam:Clostridium sp. CAG:221 genomic scaffold, scf86